GUGCCAGCAGCCGCGGUAAUACGGAGGAUGCAAGCGUUAUCCGGAAUGAUUGGGCGUAAAGCGUCCGCAGGUGGCGAUGUAAGUCUGCUGUUAAAGAGUGAGGCUCAACCUCAUAAGAGCAGUGGAAACUACAUAGCUAGAGUACGUUCGGGGCAGAGGGAAUUCCUGGUGUAGCGGUGAAAUGCGUAGAGAUCAGGAAGAACACCAGUGGCGAAGGCGCUCUGCUAGGCCGUAACUGACACUGAGGGACGAAAGCUAGGGGAGCGAAUGGGAUUAGAUACCCCAGUAGUCCUAGCCGUAAACGAUGGAUACUAGGCGUGGCUUGUAUCGACCCGAGCCGUGCCGUAGCUAACGCGUUAAGUAUCCCGCCUGGGGAGUACGCCGGCAACGGUGAAACUCAAAGGAAUUGACGGGGGCCCGCACAAGCGGUGGAGUAUGUGGUUUAAUUCGAUGCAACGCGAAGAACCUUACCAAGGCUUGACAUGUCGCGAAUCUUCUUGAAAGGGAAGAGUGCCUUCGGGAGCGCGAACACAGGUGGUGCAUGGCUGUCGUCAGCUCGUGUCGUGAGAUGUUGGGUUAAGUCCCGCAACGAGCGCAACCCUCGUUUUUAGUUGCCAGCAUUAAGUUGGGCACUCUAGAGAGACUGCCGGUGACAAACCGGAGGAAGGUGGGGAUGACGUCAAGUCAGCAUGCCCCUUACGCCUUGGGCUACACACGUACUACAAUGCUCCGGACAGAGGGCAGCAAGCAUGCGAAUGCAAGCAAAUCCCGUAAACCGGAGCUCAGUUCAGAUCGCAGGCUGCAACUCGCCUGCGUGAAGGAGGAAUCGCUAGUAAUUGCAGGCCAGCAUACUGCAGUGAAUUCGUUCCCGGGCCUUGUACACACCGCCCGUCACACCAUGGAAGCUGGUAGUGCCCGAAGUCAUACUCCAACCUUUCGGGGGGGAGGAUGCCUAAGGCAGGACUGGUGACUGGGGUGAAGUCGUAACAAGGUAACC
rnacentral:rRNA from 1 species